GAUGAACGCUGGCGGCGUGCCUAAUACAUCCAAGUCGAGCGAAGCGGGGACGGGUGAGUAACACGUGGAUAACCUCCUAUAAGACUGGGAUAAAUUCGGGAAACCUGAGCUCAACCGGAUACUUAUAGAUGGAUCCGCGCUGCAUUAGCUAGUUGGUAAGGUAACGCCUUACCAAGGCAACGAUGCAUAGCCGACCUGCGAGGGGGAUUGGUCACACUGGAACUGAGACACGGCCCAGACUCCUACGGGGGGCAGAAGGUGGGAAGCUUCAGAAAUGGGCGAAAGCCUGACGGAGUAACCACGCGUGAGUGAUAAAGGUCUUCGGAUCGAAAUACUCGGGUAGUAGGGAGUCGGUAACCAAUCUGAAAGCCACGGCUAAAGACGCGCCAGCAGCCGCGGUAAUAC
rnacentral:rRNA from 1 species